CUGUAUUGUAUACCAUCCGUCUGUAUACAGGGUUAGAAACUAACAGUAUUGUGCUUCUAGUUCAAAGGACUAGUACCUUUUGAAACUUGCUAGUCCUGAUGUAUAGUGCUUACAUUGGACUCCACAACAACAGUUGGGGUCCCUAAAAAUAGGCUUAGAUUUUAUUUUGGUAAAAAAUAAACACAGUUAUAAAUUUAGAUUUACAUUUUUUUUUAAAGCAGCUUCAACGUUCCUAUAGCUCAAUCAAUCACCUGUUUAUUUACAGAAAUAGAAAUGAAAAUAUUUGUAAAUAUUAGUUUUUUUUUUAAAAUAUUUCACAAGGCUUAGAAAUGUAUGCAUAUUUGUAAUUCUGAAACCACUACCUCAAUCAGACCCAUGUUAGAUAUUUAAUGAGAAAUCCUGAUCACGCUUGCACCAAAAGCCCAUAGAAUCCAAUGGAAUUCUAUUCUCAAUUUUUUUUUUCGUGGGUGGGGGGUGGGGGGGGCGCAUAUGUGUAUGUAUAUAACACAUUUAAAUGCCCCCAAACAAAUAAAAAAAUCUGACUUGGUUUACGAGUGCGUAAAGUGUAUUUCCACGCUGUUUACCAUAUGAUCAAAUAUGAGCACUUAUGCAGCCCAUAAAUAAAGUCAGAAUAGGGCCCUAGAAUUCCACCUAUUUGGGCUGUGUGCAAGUGUGAUAUGUAUAAGUAUCACACUUAUAAUUAUAUUUUGUAUAAAAUAAAAUGUAUUGUUUUCACUUAAUGCUAUUAACUUUAUUAUACCAUCAGGCAUUUUAUUGAAUGCUUUGGUGAUUUUGCCACCCAAAUACGAGUGAGUUUCAUUGUUAGUCAUGCUCAUGUGUAUUGGGCAUUUCAUGUAUACCUUCUUGGCAAUCAAGUCUGCCACUUUAUAUAUUUUAAUAUUCACACCUAGUAUAUUUUGUAAUAUUCAUUAGAAGUAGAAGCAGAGAUUGUCCCUUUACACCAUGGAUUGCUUCCCCUACAGCAGUAGCCUCUGCUGCGUCCGUUUUGUAGCUCUCGUUUGUUCUCUCUGGUGCAAAACUUAAAGAAAAAGGAUACACUCGCGCUUGGCCUUUCCCUUUUUCUACCACUUUUCCUUCAUGCAAACACCAAUUACAGCCAAAGUGCCCAUUGAACUGUUUUGUGUUUUGUAGUUGGAAGCGAGCAACAGCAUCACACGAUCAAGCACCAGGAAACAGCCUAGAGUGUUUGUUUUGUCCAUUGGUAUCAACCCAUGCUAUCCCUUCUUUAAUUAGUGUAUUAACAGUGUCAGUGAAGGGUUUCAAAAGAGUACUGAACUUAGCUUUUUCAUCCCAAACCAAAUUCCUGACCAGACAUUUUUAGUGCGAAAUGACGAUGGCGGUUCAUUGAUAAUGAUUUGUAACGGCCACACUGAGAAAACAGAGGAUGAAAAUGUUACUGUUAAAUCAUCAUUAAUUAGAGGUAGAUUUUUAAACGCUGUUAAAUGUGUCUGAACAUCUCGAUUUCUUAAUUGACUGCAAAUCAAACUCAAUAAAAUAACUCCCCUCUUUUAGAAGUUCAUCCUUUUCUAUUGCUUGUUUACAGUUUUGACACUCAGAAUCAAUGUAAUCUGUCGCAAAGUAUGAAGAACACUCUUUACAAUAGAAACAAAAGGUUAAACAACUUAGCACCAUCAAAAUGCUGGAAAAAAAAUACAUUUAGAAAUUUGAUACAAUGUGCCUUCAGGAAGAUGCUGAAUUAUUUGAGAUAGUAAGCACUGGAUAGCUUCUUUGCUUGAUUGACUUUCUCUCAUGGUCAGUUGAGCUCCCUGAUAAAGAAGUUGGUCCUAAAAUAAUAAAGAGAAAUACUUAAGUUACAUAUAAAGCAUCCAUUAUAUAAACUUGGGAAAAUGCCCAUUUAUGUUAAAAAGGAAAUUGUAAUGAUUUGCAUAUUCAUGGAAAAGUACAAUAUUACUUUUUUAUCUGCAUAUACACAAACUUUACAUAUACACAAGCAUACACAAACUUUACAUAUGCACAAGCAUGCACAAACUUUACUUUUGGCAGGUAGUGCUGUGACACUGUUUGUGUGACCCGGAGUACAUGAAAUAAUAUGUACCAGGUUGCUUGAUUGUUCAUUGUGUUCAAUUGAAGCACCAUUGUCACGUGACAUGGAACUGAUCGAUCCAUUCUGCAAUGCAGUGGAAAUGAACAUGGUGAUUGUUUUGUAGUUUUACAGUAAUUAAACCCAGUGCAUUCAAACAGAUUGUUUAUUAAGCCCUUAUUAGGAUAGUAAUAACUGAGGUGGUUGUCACUGCAUCAUUUUUAUUUAUUUUUUAUUUUUUUAAAACUACUAAAUAUGAAAUAGUUACAUAGGUAGCCUAAAAUGUGUAAAAAGUUUGCAUAGACUUUACACUCUCUUCAUCUGUUUGGACAAUUUUUAAUACUUGUCGAUAAGAUGAAGUUGAAAGGGUUGCCUCACCAGACUGGGGAUAAAAAAAAAGGUGGUUACUCUUACUUUUUCACAACACCUUGCAAAACUAAUAUUACAUCUCAGCCUAAUGUUUAGUUAACACAUGUAUGUCGAACAAGUCAGACAGGUCUUCAUCUGAACCUAAUCUUGAUUCUUCGUCACAGCUUGUGAAUGUUUGUUUUGCAGUGCUCGGGUGUACAGGUGAUGCAGAUGCUCCAAACAAGGACAAACACAGAGUUCACAGUUCAAGCUUUUUAUUUGCUUUCCUGUUUCUUGUCGGCUAACCGAGUUAAAUAAUAAAGCUGACUCUACCUGACUCUACGGUGUGUGCUCUUAACUGUGGGUGCGGUGCUGGAAACAGUGGUGCUGAUAGGUGUACGGGUGCCGUGCAGUCUGGGUUUGUUGCUGGAGUAAAGCUGCAGCUCCCGGAUUCGUAGUUAGCCGUCUUGCAAAGAUAAACCCACUGUUAGUACCCAAAACAAGACUUUCCCUCACGUCUUAACAUUAACCGUUUCCUCCCAUUAACCACAACAAAGGAACAAAUUGCAGCGUCACAUCCCCUCUGAUAGCUAGUUCAAUCACGUCUCCUCCAAUUCGUGACUGAAACUUCGCUCACAGUACUAGGGAGAUGACUCCUGGUACCGUGACGCUGCCCCCAUCCUGAAAUGUCGGCUUCCGGCUGCCCCUACAAUGAACUGCCCAACCAUUCAGUACGAGGCACACAGUGCUGACACAGGUCUAGAGGGAGAUUGUUGAUUCAGAUUAAUUUGGUUUCUGUCACACCGCUGUAAUUAGAUGAAUCCUCUUCCAUAUAAUGUGGAUUGUCUUUGAGCCUGUCACUCCACAUAUCCUGUAAAGAAAAUAAUAAUAAUAAUAACAGUAACAUAAGUAUCAUAAUACAAAUUUUAUCCGAACAAGUAUUGAUUUGUAAUUAAUGCCGGUGGUUUUCAACUUUGUCCUGGAGUACCACUGUGUGUGCUGGUUUUUGUUCCAACCGAGCUCUCAGUAACUUAAAAUUGUAACGUUAUAACAAGAACACUUGCAAGUACUUAUCUUCAGAGCUGUUGCUGUGGUGCUCGGCAGCAGUAACUUUGGUGACAGUUCUUCGUAUGUCUGUGAAGCAUUCUCCUGGGGAGUUUUCCUUUUCCCUACACAUACUCAUUAUAGGAUGACAAUUUUAUUUUUCUUACAUCCCUUAAAUAAUAUAAGAAGAGUUCAAACUGUUUCCAUAAAAUAAUGUUUUAACAUAACUGAGUUUUGAAAUAAUUUCAAGCUAACCCACGUCACGCAAUCUUGCCUCCCGCGAGGACAUAUGGGUGGUAGCUUAACAAUUUAAAUUAACUAUUCUACUAACUUGAACUUACAGCUGUGUGGCACUUAGUCAGGGAGGGCACUUUUUGUAAAAAUAAAUAAAUAAAAACUGCCCAUGCAAAUCCAGUGGAUAGAAGACCCCCCUGAGUGACAUGUCCUGAAUGUUAUUGGAGUCUUGUCAGACAUGGAAAGUGCAAGUUUUGGAAGUAUAAUUGAUUGUCGUUGGGAAGACAAAACAUCACCAGCAAAACUUCUGGCUCUCGGUAAGUUGAUUUUAUGUCACCUGCAUUAUGAAGUCCACCUAGCUACAGUAUUCAAAAAUACACUCUAACAAUGUUUUAUUUUUUAAAGGCACACAACAUGCGAUUGAAAGAUAACUUAUAAAUGUGGUUAAAGAGGUAAAUUUAAAAGGAAAAGGUACAAGUCCAAAUCUGGGAUGUGGAUUAAGAAAUAAGAAAAUCACAACACGGCUAGAACAGGAGUCAGAGAGUGAUGACAACUUGGAAAACCUGCUAUAGGUUGUCAUGCAGGUCUUCAGACACACAAAACCAUAAGAAAAAGAAAACCCUGAAUGUCAUAUGAUAUGGUGAUACCACCAAUGAAUCUUGAAAAAUUACACCAUCAAGAAAUUUCCAGGCACACACCUGGGGACUUUUAGCUAUUAAAAUUAGAGAAGUAGCAAAAAAAUGCAAAUUAACAAGAAAUGAAAUGUGCCUCCGUCCCCCUUUCCACUUACCUCUCGUUCUCUGCCGAAGCAGUCUUACAGCUUGUAAGCAGUUCGGUCUGUACUGAUG